GCUGAACCUCCGGCUGAAUGUAGGCACAUGAGCGAGCCCAGGCGAGACCAGCAUAACUCCUUGCCAACCCACAAGAUCAUGAAAGAGGAGAUCCUUGUUCCUAGGAGAUACAUGCCAACGAAUCAAAGAAUAAAGGGUCAUGAUGGCUGCAACUGCUUCUAGCUCAGAGCCUGCAGAAGACGUGCUGAGAAAAUGCAGGAAGAGGACAUGGUUUGUCACGGGCACAUGUGAAGCGAUGACUCUAGACUUUCUCCCUUGCUGGCUUUGAGGAGACCCAUGUGGCAAGGAACUGAGGACAGCCUCCAGCUGACAUCCAGCAAGAAACUGGGGCCCUGAGUGUUACAGCCACAGAGGUCUAAAUUCUGCCAAGAGCCGCACCAGCUGGGAAAUGGACCCUUCCCUAGGCGAGCCUCGGAAUGCACCCGCUGCCCAGCAGACUUCUGGGUUGCAGCUUUUUGAGAUUCUGAAACAAAGUCCAUGCCCAAGGUCCUGAAUCUCAGAAACUAAGAUUAAAA